AAUUUUUUUAGUACUUUAAAUAAUAUAGCUUUUUAAUUGUUAAAUAAUCUAAUUAAUAAGUUAUUUUUAUUUAAUAUUACCUUUUGUAUCAGGGUAGUUUAAUUAUUAAACUAUUUAUUUUCCCGAAAUUUAAAGAUUUAAUUUAUAAUAAUUAUAUCUGUUUUAUAAUAUUUAUUAAUUAUAAAUUAGUAAUUAAAAGUUAACGUUUUUUAAUAUAUCUGGUUACUUUAGAUUAAAUAAAAUUUUAGAUUAAUUUAUAUAUUUAAUAAUAAUAUUACUAGUCUUAUAUUAUAAGGGGAUAAUCUCUAUAUUUUAUUAAAAUUUAAUUUAAUUAAUAUUUAUUUACUUUUAAAAUUUGAAUUUAGUUUUUAACUAUUUAAUUUUAUAAUUAUACAAUUUUUUUAUAUUUAAUUUUUUAUAAAGUUAAAUUAAAUAAUUUAUAUUUAAUUUUAAUACUGAUUUAAUUAGUAUAAUAAUAAUAUUUAUUUUAAUGAAUUCAACAAUUUUUAUACCCAACUGUUUAUCAAAAACAUUUUCUUUAGUUUUUAUUAAAGAUAAAUUCUGCCCAAUGAAUAUAUUUAAAUGGCUGCAGUAUUUUAACUGUACAAAGGUAGCAUAAUCAUUAGUCCUUUAAUUAAGGACUGGUAUGAAUGAAUAAAUGAGGUUUUUAUUUUAUUAAAUAUUUCAAUUAAAAUUUAAUUUUUUGGUAAAAAAUCCAAAUUAAAUUUUUGGGACGAAAAGACCCUAUAGAACUUUAUUUUAAUUAAUAAUUAAUAUUAUUAUAAUUAAUAAUUAUUAAUUAAAAUUUUGUUGGGGUGACAAAUAAAUUUAAACUUUAUUUUAUUUAAUCAUAAAUUUAUGAAUACUAUUAAUUUUUAUAAAAAAGAAUAAGUUACCUUAGGGAUAACAGCGUAAUUAAAAUGGAGAGUUCUUAUCAAUAUUUUUAUUUGCGACCUCGAUGUUGAAUUAAGAUUUAUUAUAGGGGUAGAUUUUUAUAAAUAGAGUCUGUUCGACUUUUAAAAUCUUACAUGAUUUGAGUUCAAACCGGUGCAAGCCAGGUUGGUUUCUAUCUUAAAAUUAAAAUUACUUUUUAGUACGAAAGGACCA
rnacentral:rRNA from 1 species